UAUUUAAUUUCUCCACCAAAUUUCCCACAUCUACCUACUCUUCCACCUCCUCCAUGACAGCCAUGCCACCUUCCUUUACACCUCCUUUCCACCUCCAUGACAGCCCUUUACACUUAACAUCCACUUUCAAAUUCCACUUAACAUCACUGCAGCCAAGUCAUUCCUCCUCCUACGCCAUAUCCCCUUCUCCUACAAAUCCGACAGCAAAUUCAUUCUCCCAAUCUCCAAAAUCUUUCAACAUUCAUUAUAUAUUUAUUUUCCACUCAAGAGAAGCUCAAAAGAAAUCCAGACAACAACGGCUCAACUCAAAACUUCUAAAGGUUGAGCAGUUGAUGGAAUGGAAUGAUGUUGAGCGGGUGUUCCUUUGACAUUUCAAGAAAUGUAACCUUGAGUAUACAUCUUCAUAUGUAUAUCUCACACGUUUCCGCUGCAAAACACUUUGAUUAGGAUAACUUUAUGUUAUGAAAUUGUGACACGUGUUAUUGGGUAAACCACCUUAAUCAGUUCUCAUUUAUAUGUAUGUUUUAUAAGUAUCCAAAUAAUCAUAUAUGAUCCUAGCAUUUUAUCUAUGAGUGACAUUUCCAUAUACUUUAAAUGUUAAGUAAUUGUCCAUUUC